rnacentral:rRNA from 1 species
CCUACGGGUGGCAGCAGUGGGGAAUAUUGGACAAUGGGGGCAACCCUGAUCCAGCCAUGCCGCGUGUGUGAAGAAGGCCCUCGGGUUGUAAAGCACUUUCAGUGAGGAAGAACGCCUGGUGGUUAAUACCCAUCAGGAAAGACAUCACUCACAGAAGAAGCACCGGCUAACUCCGUGCCAGCAGCCGCGGUAAUACGGAGGGUGCGAGCGUUAAUCGGAAUUACUGGGCGUAAGCGCGCGUAGGUGGCUUGAUAAGCCGGUUGUGAAAGCCCCGGGCUCAACCUGGGAACGGCAUCCGGAACUGUCAAGCUAGAGUGCAGGAGAGGAAGGUAGAAUUCCCGGUGUAGCGGUGAAAUGCGUAGAGAUCGGGAGGAAUACCAGUGGCGAAGGCGGCCUUCUGGACUGACACUGACACUGAGGUGCGAAAGCGUGGGUAGCAAACAGGAUUAGAUACCCUAGUAGUC